UUGGUCCCGAGAUACAGGAGGACUGUGGCUUAAGUCCUUGAGAGGAAAGUAGACCUGAGACAGAUGACUGAUUAGAAAAGAGCCAUGGAGCUUCUUGCUAAGCAGGAAGGCAAACCAUUGUAGCUAGAAUCCCAACUGUGAGGAAGGGGGCUGAAGGAUGAGCCUGGCUAGGAUGGGGAUUCUUUUGUUAGGGUCACAAGGAUAUCCUUCAGAGCAACAAAGGCUGUCUCAGUAGAGUGUCCUGAAAAGAAGCCUGACUGAGAGGGAUCCAAGAUUCUGGCAGCUGACAGGUUGGGCUGAGCUGCUAUCCACAUGUGUAUCCUGUACAUCUCUCUGUUCUCUUGGACCUGCUGAAUCCUGAGAGGUAUCUUCCAUAGUUUGAACAUUGAGGACUUGGCGUUGAUUUGAAGCUUCUAGCUGUGUGGAAUUCCUCCUGCUUCUCUUCUUUCAGAUAAGUUGCCUGUACUAACAAUCAAAGAAGCUAUUGAGGUGGUGAAUUAUGACCUUUAUGUAUCAACUGAAUCCCUAAAUGCAGAUUCUAUGUCUUCUAAGUGAGUGACAAUUAGCAUUAGCUAAUUUCAGCAGCCAACAGUGCACUAUAAAUUAUUGUUCAUAAUAUUUUUAAUAUCUUCUUUUAUCGAUGUGUACCUAUUUUGAGCAUUCAGCUUAUAAAUAUAUUAAAUGACAGUCUCAGUUCUUUAUCUCAGACAGAACUUUCUCCUUUCUCUUAAUUUCUCAGUGAGUGUAAUUAAGCUUAUCUAAAGUCAGUGAGCUUGGGGAGAAUGUUUAAAAAUAAAUGGGAGUUACUUGCCAUGCCACAUGUUUUCUUUCCCAGAGUUCCUACUGUUGUUGCUGAAUUGCAUCAAAAUUCAUAUUCAGCCUUUUUGUCAUCACUUCUAUAGGUGGAAAUGUGAAAAUACAAAUGAAUGCCAAGAGAAAGGUGGCACAGGAUGGUACUUCUUCAUUUUGGUGCUGAUAUCAUAUGUAUGCUGUCACAAAAUGGAAGCUUCUUUCCGUAAAGAGAUUUCAGCAGAGUGAAAGGAAGUGAGGAGACUGGAAGGUUGGAAGAUCUCCAAGAGAAUGGGGAGUAAUGGAAAAAUCUCCAUGCAAUAUAAAAUCAUAAGACAUAUUUUGAGGAGUUAAUUCUGGCAUGGAUGCACCACCAGGGAACAAACUUGAAUUCCUUGCAUGCUCAAAAUUCUCUUUCAUCAGAAACCAUGGGCCAAAUUCAGACCUGGUGUAAGAGGACACAACCCUUUCAAAGUCACUUGGCUUGCAUUUGGUUACAUUAAGGCUAUAUGUGACUCCCUAAUGCUUAUUAAUGUUAAUGAGAGUCACAUGUACACAGUUAUAGGCAACGGAGAGACUCCCUCAUUAAGAAUAAAGCACAGGAUUAUUCCUAUAAAGGUGAUUAGAAACCAUGAAUCGCUCAAAGUCCAGUGAAGUGAAACUUGCUUUGGAAAAAACCUCAUCUUGAAUUUUCAUGCCUGAUCUUUUUGUGGUUUCUCCUCUAUGUGCAGUUUAAUGGAUGUUGUAGUCAAAACAUACGUUUUCCUUGUUACCCUACAUAUUUCUCUAAGUUUAGAAACUUUAGUUGUCUUUCUGUUUAAUAUUUCCUAUUUAUGGUUCACAUGCAAAACAAUCAUUGGGGAUUUGGAAUGUUUCCUAUUGUCUGGCUGUUGUCUGUGAUGUAUGAAAACAGAAAACAUCUUGAAUUUUAUAAGCUAAGGUAAUCAUGUAGGACUGAUGAUAAUAUCUUAUUUUGAUUAGUAACGGUAUGGCAUGAAAUUCAUCAGGAUAUUAUUAUAUAAUCAAGAUUACGCUAUCUUUUCUGGGAAGAGAUAAUUUUUCAUCUAAGAACUGUAUUCUACAAUUUUUUCCCCGCACAGGAUCUUUUUUGUCACAAAGAGAUAAUAUUUUUCCCAUUUUUAAGUAGCUUAUUUCUGAAUAUGGGUCCCUAAACAAAGUCCAGGUUUCCAGUUAAUUUGUACAUAGGACAAACUAAUACCAUUAGCUGAAUUUCCUUUAUUUUUCUUUCAAGAAAUAUGUAUUACAUUAAAGUCUAUUAGUAUGGUUGCUAAGGUGUCCCUUGAUCCAGUAAUUCUCCUCUCAUUCCCUUCAUUUGAUAGACUUUUAAUUGUGUUUGUAAUCUCUGAAAGUUAAGACCUCUUGAGGGAGUUAGAACUGGAAGAUCCACGAAGUAGGUGAAGGGAGUGGUCUUUCUAGCUCUCACUUGGAGACUGAAAUACUUCACUUUCCUGAAAGUUCUUAGUCUGAAUAUAUAUGCACUUUAGUACCAUGAUAUCAGCUGUCAGUACUAUCACAAUAAUACUGUUAUGGCAGAAGUCACUAGAUGGUGCUGUUACACAUCGUCUUGCAAAUUAUUUUCCUUAAUAUGAAAGCAAGUUUUUAGUUGUUGAAGAAAUGCUGUAUUAUUAGUUUUGUUAUGCAAUAGUCUUUUGAAAGAAGCUGUGUCAGAUAUCAGAGAGUUUGCUCUCUGUUUAGUCUCAACAUUUGGAGGCAUUUCUCUGGCAGUAUAGCUUCCUGGGAACCAUGACUGGUGCGUGGGCUGAGAUUUCUAGAAGAAGGGCUUGCCUGUAUGCGGUUUGUCAAUGCCUCUGCUCCAAGAGUAAUAUAUAUGUGUAAAUAAAGCAAUUACACUCAGA